rnacentral:rRNA from 1 species
GACGAACGCUGGCGGCGUGCUUAACACAUGCAAGUCGAACGGAAAGGCCCUGCUUUUGUGGGGUGCUCGAGUGGCGAACGGGUGAGUAACACGUGAGUAACCUGCCCUUUACUUUGGGAUAACUUCAGGAAACUGGGGCUAAUACCGGAUAGGAGCUCCUGCUGCAUGGUGGGGGUUGGAAAGUUUCGGCGGUUGGGGAUGGACUCGCGGCUUAUCAGCUUGUUUGUGGGGUAGUGGCUUACCAAGGCUUUGACGGGUAGCCGGCCUGAGAGGGUGACCGGCCACAUUGGGACUGCGAUACGGCCCAGACUCCUACGGGAGGCAGCAGUGGGGAAUAUUGCACAAUGGGCGGAAGCCUGAUGCGGCAACGCCGCGUGCGGGAUGACGGCCUUCGGGUUGUAAACCGCUUUCGCCUGUGACGAAGCGUGAGUGACGGUAAUGGGUAAAGAAGCACCGGCUAACUACGUG